AUGUGCUAUGCAAUCAUUUAUUACCCUUCUACUCUCAAAGGGGAUUGUGGCCCUGGUCACCAGAGCUAUGAGCGAUGGUCCAGUUCAAGGCUGUGUUUCAGAACACAGCGGAUCAGCAUGACCAGGAGCAAAGAUAAGGCUGCAAGGAUAACUGAAGAUGCUCCCAGCACCGUUCCUGCCUCUCUCCCUUCAUACCACUUCCCUCCAGGGCUCCUUUGUCCUGGCUCUGAUGCCCUGAGACCUGGCACAUUAGAAGGACUUGUAAGCGGCCACGAGGCUCUCCUCCACGUGACUGAUUCCAAACUCACCACGACUAAUAUUUUGCAAAUGUUACCUGGAUAAAUGAGCAGACCGUGUAUUCUUUGCUGGAGGAGCCUGGGGAUGGCAGCAGUGGCAGCAGGCCCGAAGGACUUCUUACAGUGCACGGUGCUGGUGACAAAGACCCAAAUAGGCCCGUCUGCCUGGGGACACUCAGACUUUAGGUUUUCCUGUUUUUUUUCAGACUGAGACGGUGUCUGCACUGAGUCAGGCAGCCUAGGAACACAGAAACCCGGUCUGUUAUGCUAUUUCCUAAGCCAGUGCAAGUGGAAAUGCCAUAAUGUGAAGAUUUGAUGGAAACACCCUUCUUGUCCAGACAAUCCAUCAUAGCCUCACGACUGGAGGGUCUGGUCAGAGAAAGCAUGGGUUACAAAGAAAGAGGACAAGUGCCGGGAUUAGGUCCAGGGAUCUGGAAUACACGUCAUACAAUUUCUUACCUAAUUCCCAGGAUCCAGGUCCAGGACCGAGAUAUAGAUCAGAAUCUCCCAUGGCUCAGUCGCCCUGCCCUCCCACACUCACUCCUCCCAUGCAGGUAGGCAACAGGUAAGGAGCAUGACUUUGCCCACACCCUGCGGGUGUCACGAAGCCGUUGGUUUCUGUAGCGUGUCACGUAAACACGACUGGAAUAACAGGCAGAUCUUAAGGGGGUACCCCAAAGGGGGAACGUGGUUCAGACGUCUGAAGUCUACUAAACAACACUACGUGGGACAAAUUUCAUUUAAAGCCAGCAUAAUGACACUGAAAGCAUGGUAGCGAGCAAAUGAGUAAGGAGUCCAUCUGAGUGCAGCCUCCAAACUAGUGAAGCUGGGUCUGACAGUACAGCGCGAUUUACCACAGAGCUCGAGGCCCUGUCCUGGUGUGCAGCUGACCUUUGAGUUACCUGGUUUGGGAAGGUGCCAGUUGACCUAACCGACACUUGAAAAUGUUGCCACCAGAGAUGGAAAGGUAUUGCCUUCUUCUAUUUUGAUAAGAAAUCCUCAAAAACGAAAGCGAUUCAAAUGACAACAAUAAGCCCCAGCUCUGUUUUAUUCUUGAGAAGUUUACCAUCUAGUGGGAAAGCAGACAAAAAGUAGCAAUUUUAAAAAGUCAAUUUAAGUGCUCUCUAAGUGUAUGUUGGGGAGAAAUCUCAGAACUCUCUAUUCAGACAGAAGGUGAGGGUUAGAGACGGCCACCACUCUGUCUAGUGACAAGAAACUCUGCACACUUGGCACAUCUUGUUUAGAAAAUGACUGUUGCCUUCCACAUAAAUCAGACUCUUUCCAGAACCACUCUGAAGGACCUUUCGCUUUUCAUAAAUUCUCUGUUGUAACCAUCUGCAUCCUUGGUGAAUGGAAGAAAGUUUAAAAAAGAGCCAAUGCUUGAUGUCAUUUUUAAUUAUUUUUUAAAAAUUGUACAUCCUUAUGGGGUUCAGUGUGAUAAUUCAGUACCUGUGUACAAUAUGUAAUGAUCAAACCAGGGCAAAAUAACAUUUCAGUUUUCUUAAGCACUUACCAUUUCUUUGUGUUGGGAAACUUCAAAGCCUUUUAAGUUGUAGUUCUUUAAGAAAUAUAUAAGAAAUUGUUGUAAUCUAUAGAGUGUCACUGUAUUUAAGUGGUUUCAAUACCCUGUCUGCUGGAUUAAUACUCCUUUCUACAUGGUUUUUAACAAGGCAGUUCUUUCUUGUCUUUCAAACCAUGCCUCUCACUUAAUUCUACCAUAGAUCUUUCUAGCCACCAAAACUGUUUAAAUUCUGGAGACAUUAUUUCCUCUGAAAGACAAAAGCAUAAUGGCUUUUGAUACAGAUUUUUUCUUUCUGGUUUACUUCACUUCUCUUGACUUGUCCUGUUUCCCCCUCCCUGCCUUUUAUACAGUUCAAGAUUUCCUGAGUAGUCAGUGCACAAGCAGUCUGAGCCUGACCAAUAUUUCCAGUAGGUAGUCCCACUUUAUAACAAAAACCUAAAAAAUAUUGAUUUCCUACAAAGUUAUCUGAGUUGAGUGAGAUUAAAAUUGGAGAAUGGACUCCCUUUGGAGCUGCAUGGAGAGCUCAGGUCCUACAAGUGAAAGUCAUCUUCUAAUGCCUUUACAGAGCUGUUUCUGUGCCUUAGCUUAGGAUGGUUCUUAUCCACUCUAAGGGUCUGACCAGGAUCUGGCCAGUUUGACUCAUGACCAAAUGCGGAUGGAUAUUGGAAACUUCAUUUCCUUCUAUCAUUUCUCAAUGGCAGUGUUCAUGUGUCUAUUAUUCCUCUCAAAAGCAGAUGCUGAAAGGAAUCAGGAAUUACAAAGAUGGACCCCCUGAUUUGCAGGCUGGAUCAUCCCAGGGGUGUCUUGCACAUUCUUACGUUUACCUCAACAUCUUAUACCCAUUAGAGGGGAGUGAUUUUGUUGAGUAAGGGGCCAUUCUUAAGGAUUUCUAGCCCAAGUCUGGAUAAAAUGCAGCAUCAGUUCAAUUAUUUUGGAAAUGAUUAUUUUGGCAGUGGUAGGCAGUACAGACUGCUUUGGAAGAAUACUUUAAAAAACUUUUUAAAAAACUAUUUCCAGGUCAGAAAUAAAUACUUUGCACCAACUGAUACGGUCAGUUGGAUUUUCUUAUCGGACCUGUUAAUGUCAUGGAUUAUAUGAACAAAUUUUUGAAACAGCUUCCUUGAGAUACAAUUCACUUACUAGAAAACCUAUCCAAUUAGGCAUUCAAUUAAGUGGUGUUUGGCAUAAUCACAGAGCUGUACAACUAUUACCAGAAUUUAAUUUCAAAAUGUCUUCGUCACUUCCAAAAGAAAAACUGUACCCAACAGAUCUGUGUCACAGUAAAUCUCAACAUUCACCCUAGCCCUCAACACCCAUAAAUCUACUUCUUAUCUCUAUAGAUUUUCCUAUUCUGGACCCUUCAUGUAAAUGGAAUUGUGUAAUAUGUGAUCUUUUGAUCUUUUGCCAUUGACUUUUUUCAUUUAGUAUGCCUUUUUUUUUUUUUCUUUUUGUACCGGGGAUUGAACUCAGGUCCUUGCGCUUGCAAGGCAGGCAGCAGAACCACUGAGCUAAAUCCCCAGCCCCUAGUAUGUCGUUUUUUAAAAAAUUUAAUUUAUUGGUACAUUCUAGGUAGACAGUACAGUUACAUUCAUUACUGGGAUCUUGUACCUUUACAUGCCAGGUCUUGGUUCUCAUUUUUUCCCCUUGUCCCCACUCUCCCUUCACCCCACUUAGUAUGUCAUUUCAAAGGUAGCUUUGUGUUCUAUCAGUAGUUUCUUUUUUAUUGCCAAGUAAUUGUCCAUUGUGUAGAGAAUACAUGCUUUGAUGGAUAUUUGGGUUAUUCCUACUUUUUGAUUAUUAUUAAAUAAUGCUACUCAACAUUUGUGUACCAGUGUUUGUGUGGACCUAAACUUUCAUUUCUUGUGGGUGGAUACUAGGAGGGAAAUUGUUGGGUCACAUGGUAAUUGUAUACUAACCUGUUAAGAAAUGAGAACAGAUAGGCAAAAGUGACAACUUUUCCACAGAAAAUAUUGAGGAUUAUAUGUAAAAGGAAAUCAUGAUUGGGAGUGAAAGGGCAGGCUCCAGCUAGAUUGUUUAACUCUGAUGCUCCAGAUAUCAAGGAUGAUAAAAAAUAUUUCCUAAAGCGGGCAUGGUGGCACAUGCCUGUAAUCCCAGCACUUGGGAGGCUGAGGCAGGAGGAUCGCUGUGAGAUCAAGACCAGCCUGGGCUACAUAGUGAGUUCCAGGUCAGUCUCAACUAGUGAGACCCUGUCUCAAAAAACCAAAAAAAAAAAAAAAAAAAAAAAAUUUUUUUUCCUAGACAAUCCUUAGAAAACAAAGACUUUGAUCAUAGAGCCCUAGGAUUUUUUUUCUGGUUCAGACAGGAAAGUAGAUAGAUUUCCUAUUCAUGUCAGCCAGUGUUGUAUGACACUUCUCAGAAAUGCUCAGGGGGAAAUUAUAUGGAUUUCUAAGGUCUGAUCUGGAUCUUGUAAAGCUAUGCUGCCCGGUACAAUGAUGACUAAUCACAUACAGUCUGUAAAAUUAAAUUAAUCAAAAUAAAAUUUAAAAUUUCACUCUUAGUCGCACGAGGCCCAUUUUGAUUGCUCAGAAUUACGCUGCCUGUGGCACAGCCCUUAUUGCAGCAAAUUCCAUCUGACAGCAUUGCAAAAAUUCUCAACGGGUGAUGACUUUAUCCCCAGAGGCAUCUGGGAAUGUCUAGGGACACUUUUCUUCAUACAACUCAAAGGAAGUAGGUGCUGCCGGUCAGGGAGAGAGACCAAUGGUGUUUCUAGCCAUCCUACAACACAUGGGACACUCUCUAAAAUUGGCCAUCCCAAAGUGCCAGUAUUCCCAAGACUGAGUUCUAAAACAAUGCCUGAACUUGAUCAGCUUUCAUUAAAAAAAAACAAAAACAAAAACAAAAACCUGGCAACCUUUUAAAAAUCCUUUAUGCCUUGUCCCACACUGAAAAGUCUGGUUAUGGAAUAUAAAGAUUAUAGGAUCUAUAUUGUUCAAAACCUUUCCAAGAGAUGCUUAUGAUUGGGUAGACUCAAGAAUGACUGUGUUAAAGUAGUUUGAUUCUCAACACUCAGUCCAGAAGAAAAUCACCUGGUAAAUGUUAGCAAUACUCCUGGAAUAAGUUAAUGGCUCCAAGGCCAUUACUUCCUCUGUUUAAUUUUUUCAGUCUCACCUAUCUUUCAAUGAAUGGGGUCAUUAAGCACUUAAGGAUUGCAUUAAUUUUCCUGUUCUCUCUUUCAGUUCUUUCAUUCUGCAUAGAUCUUCAAACAGUUUUCAAAUGAUUACAUCUUGUUAAAUAUUACACACUUUCUAUUUACAAACAGAAUAAACAACCUAGAAAAUGUUUGGCAGCUUUCUGUGUUCACUGCUCUUUACUAGGACAUAGCCAAGCAAACAGGAACACCAGCCCUGAAGGUAGUAUAGCAAGGCAUAUUACAGUCCAGCGAUUUGCUACCAAAUAACUUAAAGCAGGUA
rnacentral:lncRNA from 1 species